rnacentral:rRNA from 1 species
CAGCCGCCGCGGGAAUACGGAGGGUGCAAGCGUUAAUCGGAAUCACUGGGCGUAAAGCGCACGCAGGCGGUCUGACAAGUCAGAUGUGAAAUCCCCGGGCUUAACCUGGGAACUGCAUUUGAAACUGUCAGGCUGGAGUCUUGUAGAGGGGGGUAGAAUUCCAGGUGUAGCGGUGAAAUGCGUAGAGAUCUGGAGGAAUACCGGUGGCGAAGGCGGCCCCCUGGACAAAGACUGACGCUCAGGUGCGAAAGCGUGGGGAGCAAACAGGAUUAGAUACCCCGGUAGUCCCUGUCUCUUAUAC